GAUGAACGCUGGCGGCGUGCCUAAUACAUGCAAGUCGAGCGAACAGACGAGGAGCUUGCUCCUCUGACGUUAGCGGCGGACGGGUGAGUAACACGUGGAUAACCUACCUAUAAGACUGGGAUAACUUCGGGAAACCGGAGCUAAUACCGGAUAAUAUAUUGAACCGCAUGGUUCAAUAGUGAAAGACGGUUUUGCUGUCACUUAUAGAUGGAUCCGCGCCGCAUUAGCUAGUUGGUAAGGUAACGGCUUACCAAGGCAACGAUGCGUAGCCGACCUGAGAGGGUGAUCGGCCACACUGGAACUGAGACACGGUCCAGACUCCUACGGGAGGCAGCAGUGGGGAAUCUUCCGCAAUGGGCGAAAGCCUGACGGAGCAACGCCGCGCGAGUGAUGAAGGUCUUCGGAUCGUAAAGCUCUGUUAUUAGGGAAGAACAAAUGUGUAAGUAACUAUGCACGUCUUGACGGUACCUAAUCAGAAAGCCACGGCUAACUACGUG
rnacentral:rRNA from 1 species